UUUGCUGAUUAGUGGGCAAUAUGCCGAUUGGACAAGGCCACCCAGCCCUCUUCAGUGAUUGGACAAGACCACCCAGCCCUCUUCGGUGAUUGGACAUGGCCACCCAGCCCUCUUCGGUGAUUGGACAAGGCCACCCUGCCCUCUUCGGUGAUUGGACAAGGUUGACCAAACUCACCCAUCCACUGAUCGGGGGAGACUGUUGCGGCCUGGUCACCUCUGCCAGCCCGUUGCCACGAGAUCUUUGGCGCUCAGUGUUCGACUGUUUUUCUCCUACAGGACACACCAACCAGAUUGCACGGAAACAGAUACUCGGCCCAUCUAUUCGAUGCCAGCCCAAUUUCCUCCUGAGCCAGUCUCGUUUGCCCUCAUAUAUACCUUGAUAAGUGUCACUUAUAUUUUAAUGAGGAGGCAUGCAGGAGUGAGAUAAUGCAACUGGGAGAGUGGUAUCGCAACAACAACCUUGCACUGAAUGCCUGCCAGACCAGGAAACUGAUUGUGGACUUCUGGAAGGGCAAGUCGAGGGAACACACACCAGUCCUCAUCGAGGGGUCAGCAGAGGAAAGGAUGAGCAGCUCCAAGUUCCUUGAAGGCUCUUGAGCUUAUCAGAGAGCGAGCUUCACAAAGGUUGGGGAAAAGGGUUUUAAAAAGGGGCAUUUUAUGGGGCUUGGCGCAUUAGUGGCAGGCCGGUCAAUUCGAAGAGAGAGUGAGCUUUGCACAGGUCAGGGAGAAAUGCACUGACACAGUAGCUCGUCAUCGCACAAGGACACUGAGAAAGCUCCAAAAUAAAAGAGAGACAUUGUCUGGUGGUGCGGUUGUUGAAGGAGCGAACGUCAGAGUAGUAGGGCUUUGGCAUGAAUGGGCCGAGGCGAGGUAAGUUACUUUGCCCCACCCCCACCCCUAACAAGACCAGUGGGUAUGACUGUGAGGCCAGUUUCCUGUUAUGAGUGCCAGAUGUGGAAUGUCCAGUCUCCAUGAUGGCCACAUCUGCACCAGGUGCAUCGAGCUACAGAUCCUUAGAGCUGGAGCUGCAGCUCGAUGACCUUUGGGAGAGUGAGGAUGUGAUAGACAGAAACUAGGCAGGUUGUCACCCAGGGGCCAUAGGAGACAGAUAAGUGGGUGACCGUCAGGAGAGGGAAGGGAGGGUGUCAGGUAGUGGAGAGCACCCCUGUGGCAGUACCCCUUAACAAGAAGUACUCCAUUUUGAGUACUGUUGGGAGGGACAGCCUACCUGGGGGAAGCAACAGUGGCCGUGCCUCUGGCACUGAGUCUGGCUCUGUGGCUCAGAAGGGUAGGGAAAGGAAGAGGAUGUCAGUGGUAGUAAGGGACUCUAUAGUUAGGGGGUCAGACAGGUAAUUCUGUGGACGCAAGAAAGAAACAAGGAUGGUAGCUUGUCUCCCAGAUACCAGGGUUCGUGAUGUUUCUGAGCACGUCCACGAUACCUUGAAGUGGACUUUCAGCCAGAGGUCGUGGUACAUGUUGGUACCAACAUAGGCAAGAAAAAGGGGGAGGUCCUGAAAACAGAAUAUGAGGAGUUAGGAAGGAAGCUGAGAAUCUCAGGAUUGCUGCCUGUGACACGUGAUAGUGAGUAUAGGAAUAGAAUGAGGUGGAGGAUAAAUGUGUGGCUGAAGUACUGGAGCAGAGGGCAGGAAUUCAGAUUUCUGGAUCAUUGGGACCUCUCCUGGGGCAGAUGUGACCUGUACAAAAAGGACGGGUUACACUUGAAUCCAAGGGGGACCAAUAUGCUGGUGGGGAGGUAUGCUAAGGCUGUUGGGGAGUGUUUAAACUAGAUUUGCAGGUGGGUGGGAAUCGAAGUGAAGAAGCAGAGGAUGGGGAUGUUAGAGCACAAGUAGAGACAGCUUGUAGGGAGUUUGUGAGAAAGGAUAGGCAGAUGUUAGAGGAAAGAUGCCUUUGGCCUGAUGAUUUGAGAUGUGUCUAUUUUAAUGCAAGGAGUAUCAUAAACAAGGUGGAUGAGUGUGGAUCAAUACGUGGAACUAUGACAUUGUGGCCAUUACAGAGACUUGGAUGUCUCGGGAGCAGGAAUGGCUGCUGAGUGCACAGGCCUUUAGAUAUUCCAAAAAGGACAGGGAGAGAGGCAAAAGAGGCUGGGGAGUGGCAUUGUUUGUUAGGGCUAGUGUGAAGGUUGCAGAAAAGGAGGAAGCCAUGUAGGGAUGGUCUACUAAAUCAGUGUGGGUGGAAAUCAGAAACAGGAAAGGGGUAAUUACUCAACUAGGUGUUUUUAUAGACUCCCCAAUAGUAACAGGGAUAUCGAGGACCAGAUAGAGAGGCAGAUUCUAGAAACAGUGCAAUAAUAAUAGGGUUGUUGUGAUGGGUGAUUUUAACUUUCCUAAUAUUGACUGGCAUCUCCUCCGAGCAAGGAGUUUAGAUGGGGUGGAGUUUGUUAGGUGUGUUCAGGAAGGUUUCCUGACGCAAUAUGUAGAUAAGCCAACUAGAGGAGAGACUGUACUUGAUCUGAUAUUGGGUAAUGAACCUGGUCAGGUGUCAGAUCUCUCAGUGGGAGAGCAUUUUGGAGGUAGUGACCACAACUCUAUUGGCUUCACCAUAGCACUGGAGAGGGAUAGGAGCAGACAAUUUGGGAAAACAUUUAAUUGGGGUGGGGGAAAUAUGAUGCUAUUAGGCAGGAAUUUGGGAGCAUGAAUCAGGAACAUUUGCAUGGAGUUCUGCAUAGGUAUGUUCCAUUGAGGCAGGGAAAGGGUGGUAGGGUUAAAGAACCAUGGUAUGCAAAGUAUGUAGAAAAUCUAGUUAAGAAGAAAAGCUUAUGGAAGGUUCAAGAAACUGGGUACAAUUAGAGUUCUAAAAAAGUACAAGCCUGCUUGGAAGGAGCUUAAGAAUGGAAUUAGGAGAGCCAGAAGGGGCCAUGAGAAGAUGUCGCUGAGCAGGAUUAGAGAAAACCCCAAGGCAUUCUGCAAGUUUGGGAAGAGCAAGAGGAUGAGCCCUGUGAGAAUAGGACCUGUGAUAAUGGAAAUGUGGGCACAGAGUUGGAGGAGGUAGCAGAGGUUCUUACUGAAUACUUUACUUCAGUUUCCACUACAGAAAAGGACUUUGGUAAUUGUGAGGUUAACUUACAGUGGACUGAAACGCUUGAGCAUAUAGACAUUAAGAAAGAGGAUGUGCUGAAGCUUUUGAAAAGCACUAAGUUAGAUAACCCACUGGGACCGGGUGAGAUAUACCCCAGGCUACUGUGGGAAGGGAGAGAUGAUAUUGCUGAACCUGCUCAUCAAAGAUGAUGAUCUUUGCAUCAUCAAUAGGGAUGGGAGAAGUACCAGAAAAUUGGAAGGUUGCAAAUGUUGUUCCCUUGUUCAAGGAAGGGAGUAGAGAUAACCCAGGAAAUUAUAGACCAGUGAGUCUUACUUCAGUGGUGGCAAGUUGUUAGAGAAGGAGACAUCGGAUUCAAGGAGACUUUGCUUUGUGGAUCCAGAACUGGCUUGCCAACAGAAGGUAAAGGGUGGUUAUAGUUGGUUCGUAUUCUACAUGGAUGUCAGUGACCAGUGGUGUUUCACAGGGACCCUUCCUCUUUGUGAUUUUUAUGAAUGACCUGGAUGAAGAAGUAGAAGGGAAGGUUAAUAAAUUUGCUGAUGACACAAAGGUUGGUGAUGUUGUGGAUAGUCUGGAGAGUUAUCAGAUGUUACUGUGGGACAUCGAUAGGAUGCAGAACUGGGCUGAGAAGUGCCAGAUGGAGUUCAACCCAGUUAAGUGGUUCAUUUUGGUAGGUCAAAUUUGAAGACAGAAUAUAAAUGGUAUGACUCUUGGCAGUGUGAGGAUCUGAGAAAUCUUGGGGUCCGUGUCCAUAGGACACUCAAAGCUGCUGCACAGGUUGACAGCUUGUUAAGAAAGUGUAUGGUGUGUUGGUCUUCAUAAACGUAGGAUUGAGUUAAGGUGCUGUGAAGUAAUGUUACAGCUAUGUAAGACCUUGGUCAGACCCCACUUAGAGUACUGUGUUCAGUUCUGGUCACCUCUCCACAGGAAGGAUGUGGAUGCUAUAGAGAGAAUGCAGAGGAGAUUUACAAGGAUGUUGCCUGGAUUGGAAAUAAGAAUGAGAAUAAAUUGAAUGAACUUGGCCUUUUCUCCUUGGAGCAACAGAGGAUGAGAGGUGACCUGAUGGAGGUGUUAAGAUAAUGAGAGGCAUUGAUCGUGUGGAUAGUCAGAGGCUUUUUCCCAGGGCUGAAAUGGCUAACGUGAGGAGACGCAGUUUUAAAGUGCUUAGAAAUUGGUACAGAGGGGAAGUCAGAGGUAAGUUUUACACACAGAGUGUGAUGAGCGUUUGGAACGGGCUGCCAGCGAUGGUGGUGGAGGUAGAUACGAUAGGGUCUUUUAAGAGACUCUUAGAUAGGUACACAGAGCUUAAAAAAUAGAGGGCUAUGUGCUAGUGAAAUUCUAGGCAGUUUCUAGAGUAGGUUACGAGGUCGGCACAACACAGUGGGCCAAAGGGCCAAAAUGUGCUGUAGAUGUCUAUGUUCUAUGAUCUCACCCAGGCCCAGCACAUUGAUGCACAGGAAGGAGGCACAGCAAACGUUGUGCCUGUGUAAGUCACCAAACACUCCAGCAAAUCCCCACAUUUACUGCAGAGAGCAUGCUGACUGAUUCCAUCAGUGUCCGUACGGAGGCGCCAAUGCACAGGAUUAUGUGAGUCUGCAGGCUCAGCCAGCUCCACCUCCCACAAAAUCAUCCCCAUUAUCAAUAACAUCUUGAGAAUACAGGAAGGCAGCAUCCAGCAUUAAGGACUUCCCUCACAUCGCAGGACUCUGCAGAGAGUAGUGAGGACAACCCAUGAACUUCCUAUGAUUCUGGACAUUUAUAAGGACAGGUGCGUAAAAAGGGCCUGAAGGAUCAUUGAAGAAUCGAGUGACCCCAACCACAAGCUGUUCUAGCUGCUACCAUCCGGAAACGAUACCGCAGCAUAAAAGCCAGGACCAACAGGCUGCAGAUAUGUCCACACAUGGUCUCCUCUACUGCCAUGAUGAGACCAAACUUCGGCUGGAGGAACAACAUCUCAUAUACCGUCUGGGUAGUCUCCAGCCCCUUGGUAUGAACAUCGAAUUCUCCAACUUCCGUUAUGUCCACAGUGAUGAAGAGUUUUGUGAUGAAACAGAUCAACUCCUGCCUGAGAAGUGACUUGGAUACACUGCUGUUUGCCUACCGGAGCAAAAAGUCCACAGCAGAUCCCAUUUCAAUGGCUCUUCGCUCAACUCUGGGACAUCUGGACAACAAAGAUGCAUACAUCAAUAUGCCUUUUAUCAACUACAACUCAGCCUUUAAAACCAUCACUCCCAAAACUAAUCAAUAAGCUUUUGGACCUUGGCCUCAAUACCUCCUUGUGCAAUUGCAUCCUCAGUUUCCUCAUUUGCAGAACAGUCAGUUUGGAUUGGCAACAACAUCUCCUCCAUAAUCUCCAUCAGCACAGGAGCACUGCAAGGCUGUGCACUAAGCCCCCUGUUCCACCUGCUUUACACCUAUGACUGUGUGGCUAAGCACAGCUCCAAAGAAUGCAAUAUUCAAGUUUGCUGAUGACACCACUGGUGUGGGCUGAAUCAAAGGUGAUGACAAAUCAGCAUUCAGGAGGGAGACUGAAAAUCUGGCUGAGUGGCCCCAUAACAACAACCUCUCACUCAAUGUCAGCAAAACCGAGGAACUGAUUAUUGACUGCCAGAGGAGGAAAGCAGAGGUCCAUGAGUCAGUCCUCAUCAGAGGAUCAGCAACUUUAAAUUCCUCAGUGUGAUUAUUUCAGAGGAUCUGUCCUGAGCCCAGCAUGCAAGUGCAAUUACAAAGAAAUCGCUCUACUUCCUUCAGUUUGCGAAGAUUCGGCAUAACAUCUAAAACUUAGAGAAAUUUGAUAGAUGUGUAGUGGAGAACAUAUUGACUGGCUGCAUCACAGUCUGGUGUGGAAACACCAAAGUUCUUGAAUGGAAAAUCCUACAAAAAGCAGUGGAUACGACCCAGUCCAUCAUGGGUGAAGCCUGCCCCACCAUUGAGCACAUCUACAUGAUACACUGUCACAGGAAAGCAGUAUCCAUCAUCGGGGGCCCCAUUACCUAGGACAUGCUCUUUCCUUGCUGCUGAUCUCAGGUAGAAGGUGCAGGAGGCUCAGGACUCCACCACCAGGUUUGGGAAAAAUUAUUGCCCCUCAGCCAUCAGGCUCUUGAACCAACUUCUCUCAACUUCAUUUGCCCCAUCACAGAACUGUUCCCACAACUAAUGGACACACUUUCAAGGGCUUUUCAUCUCAUAUUCUUGAUACUUAUUGCUUAUGUAUUAAUUAUUAUUAUUUCUUUUUGAAUGUGCACAAUUUGUUGUCUUUUGCAUUCUGGUGCGGACUUUCACUGAUUCUCUAAUGGUUAUUAUUCUAUUAUGGAUUUAUUGAGUAUGCCUGCAAGAGAGUGAACC